rnacentral:lncRNA from 1 species
AAAAAAAAAUAAAAACAGAAAAAAUAAAUUAAAAAACUGAAAAUAAAAAAAAGUACUUUUGACGCUUGACAAGCUAGGUGGGAGCUUGUGGAUGAAGCGGGUCAAACAGAUCAAGAACGGAAGGAAAAGCAUGGCAUGGAUGCGAGAUGAUAAAUGUGACAACCGAUUACAUUCGAAAUUGAAGUUCCGACACCAAGCGAUAUGA